GUGUAAUCAGCUAAUUUCAAGAUAGAAAUCAGAUUAUCCAAUUUCACCUAUAGUGUGGUGGACUAAUGGAUUUUGAGAGUUUCCAUAAAAUAAAUCUCGUCGCUCUAAUAAUAUAGGGAAAAAAUCAAGUGAUAGUUAAGAUAUUUGUCGAUUCAUAGGCUGUGAAUAGUGACCAAAAUCGCACCCAAAACCGCACCGCAACAGUGUUAUAACAAUAUCAAAAUCUCUAUAUAUAUAUAUGUAUCUAUGUAUUUUUGUUAAUAUUUGAACCGCAUCGCACUUCUCCCGUACCGCAAAAUACAGUCACCAUUCGGAGCCAUAAUUUCUUAUCCAUUUAUCUAUAGAUUCGAUGGACUCGAUUUGUCAGAAAAGUAUUAUGACCGACAUGAAAACACGGCUCGAGCCGUGUUUUAAUUUUAUAUGUUUAGUCUACUUCGAAAGGGAAACGAAAAGAAAACACGGCUUGAGC
rnacentral:sRNA from 1 species